rnacentral:rRNA from 1 species
ACGGUGAGUGACUAGCUACUGAAUCAUAUGUGUGUCACAUAUGAUAACGUAAGGGAAAAUAAUGAUUGUACCUUACUAUAAGUGUCGUCCAAAUACUGGUGCCAGAAGACUCGGUAAGGCCAGAGACGCGAACGUUAAUCGUCUUAAAAAGGCGUAAAGGGUUUGUAGGCUGCUUUAAACCUCUUAUAGGCAAAAUGAACUAAUUAAUGUCAAUAAGAAAAAUUAAAGCUAGAAUCAAGAAGAGGUUAAGCUAAAUAAUGCUUAAAGUAAGGGUAAAAUCUGUAGAUAUUAAGUAGAAUACUAAAGGCGAAGGCAUUUUUCCAUUAAUGAUUGACGCUGAGAAACGAAGGUAAGGAUAGGAAACAGGAUUAGAGACCCAGGUACCCCUUACUGUCAACGAUGAAUGGUAGUUACUAUUUUAGAAUAAUCAGUAGUAGCAAUGUUAACACGUUAACCAUUCCGCCUUGUGAGUACGACUGCAAAGUUGAAAACAAAAAAAUUAGUCGUCUCGAGCAAUCGAAUGACC